rnacentral:rRNA from 1 species
AGUGAACGCUGGCGGUAGGCCUAACACAUGCAAGUCGAACGGCAGCACAUUAAGAGCUUGCUCUUACGGGUGGCGAUUAGCGGACGGGUGAGGAAUACAUCGGAAUCUACUUUUUCGUGGGGGCUAACGUAGGGAAACUUACGCGAAUACCGCAUACGACCUACGGGUGAAAUAAUGGGAUCUUCGUACCUUGCUCGAUUGAAUGUGCACAUGUCGGAUUAGCUAGUUGGCGGGGUAAAGGCCCACCAAGGCGACGAUCCGUAGCUGGUCUGAGAGGAUGAUCAGCCACACUGGAACUGAGACACGGUCCAGACUCCUACGGGAGGCAGCAGUGGGGAAUAUUGGACAAUGGGCGCAAGCCUGAUCCAGCCAUACCGCGUGGGUGAAGAAGGCCUUCGGGUUGUAAAGCCCUUUUGUUGGGAAAGAAAAGCAGCAGGUUAAUACCCCGAUGUUCUGACGGUACCCAAAGAAUAAGCACCGGCUAACUUCGUG